rnacentral:lncRNA from 1 species
AUGGCACCAGAACUGGCACCAAAACCUCCUGGCACCAGCACCAAUCAGCACUGGCACCAUCUGGCACCAUCAGGCACCAUCACCGUGUUCCACCAAGCUUCAUGGCACCAGGACUGGCACCAAAACCUCCUGGCACCAGCACCAAUCAGCACUGGCACCAUCUGGCACCAUCUAGCACCACCACCGCGCUUAACCAGGCUUCAUGGCACCAGGACUGGCACCAAAACCUCCUGGCACCAGCACCAUCUGGCACCAUCGGGCACCACCACCAUGCUUAACCAGGCUUCGUGGCAUCAGGACUUGCACCAAAACCUCCUGGCACCAGCACCAACCAGCCUUGGCACCACCUGGCACCAGCAACCAAGCCUCCUUGCACUGGCACCACUGUGCAUUGGCACCAUCUGGCACCAUCAUUGUGGUCCACUGAACCUCCUGGCACCAGGACUGGCACCAAAACCUCCUGGCACUGGCACUAACCAACUUUGGCACUACCUGGCACCAGCACCGUGCUCAACAAAGUCCCCUGGCACCAACCAGCACUGGCACCAUCUGGUACCAUCAGGCACCAGCACCGUGCUCCACCAAGCUUUGUGGCACCAGGACUGGCACCAAAACCUCCUGGUGCCAGCACCAACCAGCCUUGGCACCACCUGGCACCAGCAACUGAGCAUCCUUGUACUGGCACCAUCUGGCACUGGCACCAUCGGGCACCACCAUUGUGGUCCACCGAACCUCCUGGCACCAGGACUGGCACCAAAACCUCCUGGUGCCAGCACCAUCCAGCACCAUCUGGCACCAUCUGGCACCAUCUGGCACCAUCGGGCACCACCACCGCGCUUAACCAGGCUUCAUGGCACCAGGACUGGCACCAAAACCUCCUGGCACCAGCACCAUCUGGCACCAUCGGGCACCACCACCGCGCUUAACCAGGCUUCGUGGCAUCAGGACUUGCACCAAAACCUCCUGGCACCAGCACCAACCAGCCUUGGCACCACCUGGCACCAGCAACCAAGCCUUCUUGCACUGGCACACCGGGCAUUGGCACCAUCUGGCACCAUCUGGCACCAUCAUUGUGGUCCACUGAACCUCCUGGCACCAGGACUGGCACCGAAACCUCCUGGCACUGGCAUCAACCAACAUUGGCACCAUCCGGCACCACCUGGCACCAUCACCAUGCUCCAGUUGAGCCAUCUGGCAUCAGGACUGGCACUGAAACCUCCUGGCACUGGCACCAACCAGCACUGGCACCGCCUGGCACCAGCACUGUGCUCCACCAAGCUUCGUGGUACCAGGACUGGCACCAAAACCUCCUGGCACCAGCACUAA